CAGACUAUUUUUUGGGCUUUGAGCUGAAGAAAUCGUUCAAGUCCAUAUUAAGGCCCAUAUAUCAACGAAUAAGUUUACCCCAACUAAACCCUAUCACUCGAUAUCCUAUUUAAACUCAUGAUUCUCCAAAUUUAGGGAAACAGAAAAACCCUAGAAAAUGUUCUCUUAUGCUUCUCCAAUUUCAUGAGUUUCAUCGUUCUACGAAAAUACGAUUUAUUUUUUAACAGAUUUAUUUUGUUUCUGGAUUAUUUUUAUCUAUCUAUCUAUCCAUCCAUCUAUCUUUUUUCUCCUUACGUAGCUGGGUAUUUACGUUUUUUUUUUGUGAUCGAUGAUGUUCUAAAAUCUGCGUUAUCUUUCUGCAUCUGCCUUCCGUUGAUUGCGGUUGGGUUCUGGAGAAAACAUAAUUUUCGCUGAGAUCUAUUCGUCCGACGUCCAUACACCACAGUGUGAUUUUAACUGUUUUUCGUUUUCAAUUUGCAGUUCUUGGACUAUUUUUAUUUAUGAUUUUCGUAUUAUUGUUACGAUUUCUUUUGCGUUUCAAAUAUUUUAUAUUUUUUAAUUUUCACUGUCAAUAUUGGAGAUUUAAAAACAAAUUAUUUUCCAACUAUUUAGUUUUGUUUCGUCACUUUCAUCUCCUGUUGAAAAUAGCAGAUAAUUGAAGAUAACCUAAAGUUCAGGUCGUUGGUGUUACCUGUACAAAAAUGGAUCCGCGACCCGAUGAAACGGGAUGACGUCUUAUGUCGACCCGGACCCGAUUAAUUAGAGUAAGAGUUUGUUUGUUUAUGUUUUUACUAAUCGAAAUUCAACAACCUAAAAGAUAUUAUCCAUAAUGUCCGAUCAAGCCCAUGUUUUUAUGGUUUAGAACAAAUAAUUUUUUUUUGUUUAUUUUUUAAUUUCAGUUCGACGAUUUUUGAUUUUUCGACAUUCUUCGCGUCCUUUCUUUGUUGUCUUGAAAUUGAGUGAAAAUGUUCCAGUUAACUUUCAAUCAUCCAUUUGAUUGUCUCCGACGAGUUUGUCCAUCAUUGGAAUUUCUGUUAGAUUCUUCUACAAAACAAGAAACUUCGAUGUGGUUUGACCGUAGUUCCUCCUCAGUUCUUUGUUUAUUUUCCUUAAUAAAUUUCAGGAUAAUUGUACAUCUAUAACCUUCUCCAAGUUUGUCAGCGGCGGCAACCUUCAAAAACCCCUGAUUAGUCGAUACGCUAUCGUUCCCAGGAAUAGGAUCAACAUCAGAAUCGUUUUUUAUAAGAACCUACUUAUCAUUUUUCGUAGUUGAAUCAUUCCUUUUAGGAGAAUCGCAAGUCAGUUAAAAAUAAGAGAAUCUUUCGGACAAUCGAUAUUUUGACUGAAAUUUAAAAAUUAAGUUGUUAUUGGCCAAAAUAAGUGAUCUGAAAUGUAAUUCUCCCUCAGUUAUAAUGGGUACAAAUAGAAGUGAACACCGGUUGUAAAAUAUGGUAGUCCCAGAUAUGUUAUGGGUAAACUUUUAACAGUAUAUCUUAAGAUGUCAUGUAAAGAUUGAUCUUCUGCACAUACUUUUGUUCGCAUUUACCUUCAAUUUUGAAAACAAUGAAAUUUUCUCAACCAACGCUUUAAUUGCAUUAAGCGAUUUCGAGUUUGUGUUUGAGAAGAUGAGAAUAUCAUCUUCUGUAUACGUAAGAUGAGAUAUAGAAGUAGUCAAGUAGCACCAUUAAUUUGAUAGAUGUUUAUCUUUUUGUUUUUCAUUUCACUCUGUAUCAAUCUACCUAGACGUUCAUAACCAUGUCAAAUAAAAUAGAAGAUAGAUGAUCACCCUGCUUAACUCCCUUCUUGCUUUUGAAGGAAGGCGUUGAAGUCCCUUCCACUAGUACUGAGAAUGAAAUCAAAUUGUAAAAUAUAAGAUAAAAUAUAUACGUUUCAAGAGUGAAAAUUAUAAUCUCCCAACUAACUGUGUCAAUUUUUUUUUAAGAUCUAUACUCAAACAACACCUUUUGAGAGUUCUUUUUUUCCCAAAGUCAUAAACCAUCUCAUCCACUAGAAUGGUAUUAUCCGAGAUGAGUCUGAAGAUUAUAUACAACAAUUUUCAGGGAAGCCCC
rnacentral:lncRNA from 1 species